GAUGAACGCUAGCUACAGGCUUAACACAUGCAAGUCGAGGGGUAACGAGAGGAAAGCUUGCUUUCCUUGUCGACGACCGGCGCACGGGUGAGUAACGCGUAUCCAACCUGCCCCCAACUAGGGAAUAACCUUGCGAAAGUAAGACUAAUACCCUAUAAUUUCCUCAGAUGUCAUCUGACGAGGAAUAAAGAUUUAUCGGUUGUGGAUGGGGAUGCGUCUGAUUAGCUUGUUGGCGGGGUAACGGCCCACCAAGGCAACGAUCAGUAGGGGUUCUGAGAGGAAAGUCCCCCACAUUGGAACUGAGACACGGUCCAAACUACUACGGGAGGCAGCAGUGAGGAAUAUUGGUCAAUGGGCGGAAGCCUGAACCAGCCAAGUAGCGUGCAGGAUGACGGCCCUAUGGGUUGUAAACUGCUUUUAUACAGGAAUAAAGUUAGCCACGUGUGGUUAUUUGUAGGUACUGUAUGAAUAAGGACCGGCUAAUUCCGUGCCAGCCGCCGCAGUAA
rnacentral:rRNA from 1 species